CCCUCUCUAUCUAGGAGGACCUCAUCGUGGUGGGAGGGUGAACAUCAGCAAUUGGUGGCCAACACUCCUAAAAUUUACAUAUAUACAUGUACUUACUGUGCUCACAGGCCUAGUUUGGGUUGACUUGUACUGGCAGUUUGUGUUGUUACAAUUACUGCACGGUCUCCGCUUGCAUGCACAACUUUUGCACUUCCCUCUGUUAUCACAAGGACAGCAUCUCUACAAAAAAGAUUUGUAUAUUGAAUGUUUCAGGAUUUUUUUAUUUUGAGUGAUAUUUAUAUAUCUUUCAUACUGGUGUGUAAUAAAACAAUACUUCUGUAUAUGCAUAUAUUGGGCCUUUGCCAAUUAUUGUAAUUGUGUUUGUCUCAAUGAAAUAUAUGUAUUUAUAUUUGU
rnacentral:misc_RNA from 1 species